CCUCACCCGGCCCGGACACGGACAGGAUUGACAGAUUGAUAGCUCUUUCUCGAUUCCGUGGGUGGUGGUGCAUGGCCGUUCUUAGUUGGUGGAGCGAUUUGUCUGGUUAAUUCCGAUAACGAACGAGACUCUGGCAUGCUAACUAGUUACGCGACCCCCGAGCGGUCGGCGUCCCCCAACUUCUUAGAGGGACAAGUGGCGUUCAGCCACCCGAGAUUGAGCAAUAACAGGUCUGUGAUGCCCUUAGAUGUCCGGGGCUGCACGCGCGCUACACUGACUGGCUCAGCGUGUGCCUACCCUACGCCGGCAGGCGCGGGUAACCCGUUGAACCCCAUUCGUGAUGGGGAUCGGGGAUUGCAAUUAUUCCCCAUGAACGAGGAAUUCCCAGUAAGUGCGGGUCAUAAGCUUGCGUUGAUUAAGUCCCUGCCCUUUGUACACACCGCCCGUCGCUACUACCGAUUGGAUGGUUUAGUGAGGCCCUCGGAUCGGCCCCGCC
rnacentral:rRNA from 1 species